rnacentral:rRNA from 1 species
AGGGCAAGUCUGGUGCCAGCAGCCGCGGUAAUUCCAGCUCCAAUAGCGUAUAUUAAAGUUGUUGCAGUUAAAAAGCUCGUAGUUGAAUUUCGGGGUCAGCAGGUUGGUCGUGCCAAUGGUAUGCACUGGCCUUGCUGAUUCCUCCCUCUUGAUGAGCCGUAAUGCCAUUAAUUUGGUGUUGUGGGGAAUCAGGACUGUUACUUUGAAAAAAUUAGAGUGUUUAAAGCAGGCAAGCGCUUGAAUACAUUAGCAUGGAAUAAUGAAAUAGGACGUUCGAUCCUAUUUUGUUGGUUUCUAGGAUUGACGUAAUGAUUAAUAGGGAUAGUUGGGGGCAUUAGUAUUCAAUUGUCAGAGGUGAAAUUCUUGGAUUUAUUGAAGACUAACUACUGCGAAAGCAUUUGCCAAGGAUGUUUUCAUUAAUCAAGAACGAAAGUUAGGGGAUCGAAGACGAUCAGAUACCGUCGUAGUCUUAACCAUAAACUAUGCCGACUAGGGAUCGGAUGAUGUUAAUUUUUUAAUGACUCAUUCGGCGCCUUACGGGAA